CCCUAACGUGUGUUACCCUUUAUUCUAAGGAUAAUAUUUUCAAAGAUUUAUUUCAUAGCUAAUAUAUAAGGAAUAAGGAGGUAGGAACAAAACCAACACACAAGCACAUUUAAGAAAAAAAUUACUAGAUGAAAACAGUAAAGCCAUUUCAAAGUAUUAUCCUCAUAUUGUGUUGAUAUUAAUUUAAAACUUUUAAUUUUUUAAUUGAACUUUGAACAGGCUGUAAUGCUUCAAUGUAACAAUGCCUCCUAUAUAAUGUAGUGUAGAAAUGCUAUUUCUAGCAAUAUGGCAGGUGAAAUAUCCAGAAAAUCCUUUCCUGAAAUGCUGAAUAAAAUAUGCACCCAUGAUUUUAAGUGCAAAGCUAGGGAAAUAGAAGAAAAUAUCGGGUAACAAAAUGCAUGGAGAGCUGAAAACAAGAGGUAGAAACUUGUGAGUGAUGCUAGUGUGGCCAUUCUGACUUCAUAAUUAAAAGGCUGCAGUGUGAAUUGCCUCAUAACAUAGAUGACAUGUGAUUAGGCAUUGAUAUGGCUGGGCUGUGUCCCUACCAAAAUCUCACCUUGAAUCUGUGUCCCUACCAAAAUCUCAACUUGAAUCGUAAUAAUCUGCAAGAGUCAGGGGUGGGGCCAGGUGGAGAUAAUUGAAUCAUAGGGGCACUAUCCCCCAUACUUUCUCAUGGUAGUGAAUAAGUCUCAUGAGAUCUCAUGGUUUUAUAAAUGGGAUUUCCCCUGUACAAGCUCCCUUGCCUGCCACCAUGUAAGCGGUAACUUUGCUCCUCAUUUGCCUUCCACCAUGAUUGUGAGGCCUCCCAGCCAUGUGGAACUGUAUAAUUGCCCUGCUGACAUGGUACAAGGGCUCAUGCCCAGAGAGAGAAAGAGUUAAGUAGCUGACCCUAAAGCCAAGGAAGAGCCAACUGUGCAGCUGUUCAUGGGAGCAGUCAAACCAAGCAGCCGAGACAGAGCAGACAGUGUAAGAGAGCUGCUGAUGAAAGAACUGCUGAAUAAAGCCGUAUUUCACCUACCUAUGGCCCCCUGAGUGUUUCUUCAGCUAUCUGCCACUUAUCCACCCACAGCCCUCAGACCUCAGCAUGGGCUGGGACCUGACAGAAAAUAUGAAAGAAUGGUUUUGAAAAAUGGAGGAUAAAAUAAAAAACUUCAUCAUAUCUAAUUACAGUGUAGAAAAUUGAGUAAAUGUUGGCUGUGGCAUUCUGUGCAAAAUGAUGUCUCCAAUAAAAGCCUAGCCCUCUUAUAGUCAUAUGAGUUCGUAAUGUUACUUUGCUGCCCACCAUCAAAAAGCAAGUCCAUUUCCACAUUCCUUGACUGUGACUGGCCUCCUAAUUUGCUUUAACUAGUAGAAUGUGGCAGAGGUGACACUGAAUUCCAGAGUAGCUUCCACUCUUGACCCAUUGAUUUGCUGUCCUGAUAUUUCAAUAUAAAGAACUUCAUCUGGAACCUUGUGCUCAGGAAGCCACAAAGGAAAUAAGGAAAACUUAAGGGCCCGAUUGACUGCCAGUGCCAUCGGCGAAACACAUCCGUGAGACCACCUAAUCCAUUCAGCCCUACGUAGCCUGUCAAAUGACUGCAACUACAUGAGUGACCCCAGGAGAAGCUGAUUCCAGAUCAACUGCUAACUGCAGAAUCAUUAGCUAAUAAAUGGUUGUUGUUCAAAAACCAAAAAGGUUUGGGGUGAUUUGUUACUCAGCAAUAGAUAACUAAUAUAUUUAUCAUAUUCCAGAUUGGUCUCCAGAAGUACCACCAAGGUUUGGGCCUGAAACUUUGGGGGGUUUUCCUUUUUUAAAAAAAGAAUACAAGCCUACAACUAUACAAUUAAAUGUAAAAGUCAAAAUGCAUUUAGACUGAGAAAAAAA
ensembl:lncRNA